UGGGGAAUAUUGGACAAUGGGCGAAAGCCUGAUCCAGCCAUGCCGCGUGUGUGAAGAAGGCCUUUUGGUUGUAAAGCACUUUAAGCGAGGAGGAGGCUACUAGUACUAAUACUACUGGAUAGUGGACGUUACUCGCAGAAUAAGCACCGGCUAACUCUGUGCCAGCAGCCGCGGUAAUACAGAGGGUGCGAGCGUUAAUCGGAUUUACUGGGCGUAAAGCGCGCGUAGGUGGUUCGUUAAGUUGAAUGUGAAAGCCCCGGGCUGAACCUGGGAACUGCAUCCAAAACUGGCGAGCUAGAGUAGGGCAGAGGGUGGUGGAAUUUCCUGUGUAGCGGUGAAAUGCGUAGAUAUAGGAAGGAACACCAGUGGCGAAGGCGACCACCUGGGCUCAUACUGACACUGAGGUGCGAAAGCGUGGGGAGCAAACAGG
rnacentral:rRNA from 1 species